rnacentral:rRNA from 1 species
UACGUAGGGUGCGAGCGUUAAUCGGAAUUACUGGGCGUAAAGCGUGCGCAGGCGGUUCGUUAAGUCAGAUGUGAAAGCCCCGGGCUCAACCUGGGAACUGCAUUUGAAACUGGCGGGCUUGAGUAUGGCAGAGGGGGGUGGAAUUCCGCGUGUAGCAGUGAAAUGCGUAGAGAUGUGGAGGAACACCGAUGGCGAAGGCAGCCCCCUGGGCCGACACUGACGCUCAGGCACGAAAGCGUGGGGAGCAAACAGG